AGACAGUAUUUCCAUCUGGAUCAUAUGCCAUCUGCAGAGAAACAAACGCUUGAACUUAAAAAUAUAAGGGAUAAGUUUGAAAUUUCUUAAUCAGACCGUGGACAGGCUCGCGUUCAAGGUUGAUAAGCUGAAGGAUUUGUGGUUAAAACAAAGGGAAUAGAUAAAGGCAUUAAAGAAUGCAAUUAUGUUCCUAGAUGUUAUGAUCCAAGUGAAGUGGGAGGUUGAUUCUCAAGUAGCAUAAAACAGGGAGGUUAAUCUAUAAAGGCAGGUCACUUCUCUCA